UGCCUUGUCAAUCAGUACAACUUGAAGCUGC
rnacentral:piRNA from 1 species